rnacentral:rRNA from 1 species
UACGUAGGUGGCAAGCGUUAUCCGGAUUUAUUGGGCGUAAAGAGAACGCAGGCGGUCUUUUAAGUCUGAUGUGAAAGCCUUCGGCUUAACCGGAGUAGUGCAUUGGAAACUGGGAGACUUGAGUGCAGAAGAGGAGAGUGGAACUCCAUGUGUAGCGGUGAAAUGCGUAGAUAUAUGGAAGAACACCAGUGGCGAAAGCGGCUCUCUGGUCUGUAACUGACGCUGAGGCACGAAAGUGCGGGGAUCGAACAGG